AAACAACAUUUCCAGACUGACUGCACUCAGCGCCUGAUCUCAGCAGUCUUUUCUCCAGAUGAACGCCACUAUAACUGUGAAGAUGACACUUGUGUUGUUCUUUCUGGGCUCAGGUUUUUUUCACUUUACAAUGGCAUCAAACCGUCUGAGACUUUUCAGUUGUAAAGAUAGUGGGCUUUCUUGGUAUGAUGCGUUGUCUGAAUGUAAUAUGACAAAUGAAACACUUGUAACUCUGUAUGACGAAGAGGACGCCAAGUUCACAGCCAACUUCACCAAUAGCGUAAUCUGGCUGGGUCUGCGUAAGAGGAGAAAUAUCACUUGGUCAGACGGUACCCCUUACCUAUUCAGGAAUUUUUCUGUGAAUGUAACAAGUGGGGAGCAAAGAUGUGUAGCUACCGACGGACAGAAAUGGAGCAAUUUCAGUUGUUCAGAGAGGAAACAUUUCAUGUGCUACCAUGGUACUAAGUACAUCCUGAUUGAAAAUGAGAAGAACUGGUGUCAGGCUCUGCAGCACUGCAGAAAAUACUACACUGACUUGGUCAGCAUCGCAAACCAAACACAAAAUGAGACAGUGAUUAAAAUGAAAAAUGACACAAGCUUUUGGAUUGGACUCAUGCAUGAUGAAUGGGAGUGGGCGGACAAAAGCUGCUCUUCAUUCAGAAAAUGGAAUACGGAUAGAGACCAUCCAAAAGAUGACAAA